GACGAACGCUGGCGGCGUGCUUAACACAUGCAAGUCGAGCGAGGCCCCUCCUUCGGGAGGGUGUCCUAGCGGCGAACGGGUGAGUAACACGUGGGCAACCUGCCCUCAGCUCUGGGAUAACUCCGGGAAACCGGGGCUAAUACCGGAUACGACCUCCACGGGCAUCUGCGGAGGUGGAAAGUUUUUCGGCUGAGGAUGGGCCCGCGGCCUAUCAGCUAGUUGGUGGGGUAGUGGCCCACCAAGGCGACGACGGGUAGCCGGCCUGAGAGGGCGACCGGCCACACUGGGACUGAGACACGGCCCAGACUCCUACGGGAGGCAGCAGUGGGGAAUAUUGCGCAAUGGGCGAAAGCCUGACGCAGCGACGCCGCGUGAGGGACGAAGGCCUUCGGGUUGUAAACCUCUUUCAGCAGGGACGAAGCGAAAGUGACGGUACCUGCAGAAGAGGCACCGGCCAACUACGUG
rnacentral:rRNA from 1 species